rnacentral:tRNA from 2 species
GCUCGAUUAGCUCAGUUGGUUAGAGCGCACGGUUCACAUCCGUGAGGUCGUAGGUUCGAGUCCUACAUCGAGCA